AAACAAAAAGUGCAUAAGUUGUACUCCCUG
rnacentral:tRNA from 1 species